CAGCCGCCGCGGUAAUACGAAGGGUGCAAGCGUUACUCGGAAUUACUGGGCGUAAAGCGUGUGUAGGUGGUUGUUUAAGUCUGUCGUGAAAGCCCUGGGCUCAACCUGGGAAUUGCGAUGGAUACUGGGCGACUAGAGUGCGGUAGAGGAUAGUGGAAUUUCCGGUGUAGCAGUGAAAUGCGUAGAGAUCGGAAGGAACAUCUGUGGCGAAGGCGACUAUCUGGGCCAACACUGACACUGAGACACGAAAGCGUGGGGAGCAAACGGGAUUAGAUACCCCUGUAGUCCCUGUCUCUUAUAC
rnacentral:rRNA from 1 species